GGUCUAAAUUAGGAAGUGAAAACUAGGUUUAAUAUUGUCUUCAUCUUUUUAGUGUCUAUUUAGAGACAUGUACAGAAAGAUAGUUGUAAACAGUGUGCAUAUCACCAAAGUGAACAAAUUCCCAU